rnacentral:rRNA from 1 species
GAUGAACGCCUGGCGGCGUGCUUAACACAUGCAAGUCGAACGGGAUUCAUCAGGCUUUGCUUGGUGGUGAGAGUGGCGAACGGGUGAGUAAUGCGUGACCGACCUGCCCCAUACACCGGAAUAGCUCCUGGAAACGGGUGGUAAUGCCGGAUGCUCCGACUCCUCGCAUGGGGUGUCGGGAAAGAUUUCAUCGGUAUGGGAUGGGGUCGCGUCCUAUCAGGUAGUCGGCGGGGUAACGGCCCACCGAGCCUACGACGGGUAGCCGGCCUGAGAGGGCGACCGGCCACAUUGGGACUGAGAUACGGCCCAGACUCCUACGGGAGGCAGCAGUGGGGAAUAUUGCACAAUGGGCGCAAGCCUGAUGCAGCGACGCCGCGUGCGGGAUGACGGCCUUCGGGUUGUAAACCGCUUUUGAUCGGGGGCAAGCCUUCGGGUGAGUGUACCUUUCGAAUAAGCACCGGCUAACUACGUGCCAGCAGCCGCGGUAAUACGUAGGGUGCAAGCGUUAUCCGGAAUUAUUGGGCGUAAAGGGCUCGUAGGCGGUUCGUCGCGUCCGGUGUGAAAGUCCAUCGCUUAACGGUGGAUCUGCGCCGGGUACGGGCGGGCUGGAGUGCGGUAGGGGAGACUGGAAUUCCCGGUGUAACGGUGGAAUGUGUAGAUAUCGGGAAGAACACCAAUGGCGAAGGCAGGUCUCUGGGCCGUUACUGACGCUGAGGAGCGAAAGCGUGGGGAGCGAACAGGAUUAGAUACCCUGGUAGUCCACGCCGUAAACGGUGGAUGCUGGAUGUGGGGCCCGUUCCACGGGUUCCGUGUCGGAGCUAACGCGUUAAGCAUCCCGCCUGGGGAGUACGGCCGCAAGGCUAAAACUCAAAGAAAUUGACGGGGGCCCGCACAAGCGGCGGAGCAUGCGGAUUAAUUCGAUGCAACGCGAAGAACCUUACCUGGGCUUGACAUGUUCCCGACAGCCGUAGAGAUAUGGCCUCCCUUCGGGGCGGGUUCACAGGUGGUGCAUGGUCGUCGUCAGCUCGUGUCGUGAGAUGUUGGGUUAAGUCCCGCAACGAGCGCAACCCUCGCCCUGUGUUGCCAGCACGUCAUGGUGGGAACUCACGGGGGACCGCCGGGGUCAACUCGGAGGAAGGUGGGGAUGACGUCAGAUCAUCAUGCCCCUUACGUCCAGGGCUUCACGCAUGCUACAAUGGCCGGUACAACGGGAUGCGACACGGCGACGUGGAGCGGAUCCCUGAAAACCGGUCUCAGUUCGGAUUGGAGUCUGCAACCCGACUCCAUGAAGGCGGAGUCGCUAGUAAUCGCGGAUCAGCAACGCCGCGGUGAAUGCGUUCCCGGGCCU